rnacentral:rRNA from 1 species
UCCGGUGGCAAUAGCCUGAGGGAUCCACCUGUUCCCAUACCGAACACAGAAGUUAAGCCUCAGCACGCUGAUAGUACUUGGCUGGCAACGGCCCGGGAGGGUAGGUCGCCGCCGGAU